UCAGCGAUGGAUAUCUUGGCUCGGGCACCUGUGAAGGGCGCAGCGAARCGCGAUAGUCUUUGUGAAUUGCACAACUCCGUGAACCAAUSGCCUCCUGAACGUGCGUUGCACUCUUGGGAUUUCCUGARAGUAUG
rnacentral:rRNA from 1 species